UUAAAGUAGUAAGGGCGCAGGGUGGAUGCCUUGGCACUAAGAGCCGAUGAAAGACGUGAUAAGCUGCGAAAAGCUUCGGGGAGGAGCACAUAUCCAAUGAUCCGGAGAUAUCUGAAUGGGGAAACCCGGCAGAGGAAACCUCUGUCAGCGUGCAGUGAAUACAUAGCUGUACGUGGGGAACCCGGGGAACUGAAACAUCUAAGUACCCGGAGGAAGAGAAAGAAAAUUUAUCGAUUUCCAAAGUAGCGGCGAGCGAAAUGGAAAGAGCCCAAACCGUGAUGCGUGCAUCGCGGGGUUCGGACUGCGUUGUGGCAGACGUAAGAUAGGAGAACGGACUGGGAAGUCCGGCCGGAGAGAGUGAAAGCCUCGUAUCCGAAAUCCCAAGUCGCCUAGCAGGAUCCAGAGUAGGACGAGACACGAGAAACCUUGUCUGAACGAGCGGGGACCACCCCGUAAGGCUAAAUACUUCUUAGUGACCGAUAGCGCAUAGUACUGUGAAGGAAAGGUGAAAAGUACCCCGGGAGGGGAGUGAAAGAGAACCUGAAACCCUGUGUCUACAAGCUGUGGGACCUCUUUAUAUGAGGGACUGCGUACUUUUUGUAGAACGGUCCGGCGAGUUGUGCGUACUGGCGAGGUUAAGGACUUAAGGUCUGGAGCCGAAGUGAAAGCAAGCGUUAAUAGCGCGUCAAGUCAGUGAGUGCAGACCCGAAACCGGGUGACCUAUCCAUGUCCAGGUUGAAGCUUCCGUAAGAGGAAGUGGAGGACCGAACCCACAUCCGUUGAAAAGGGUGGGGAUGAGGUGUGGAUAGCGGAGAAAUUCCAAUCGAACCCGGAGAUAGCUGGUUCUCCUCGAAAUAGCUUUAGGGCUAGCCUCAUGAGAGUCUUAUGGAGGUAGAGCACUGAAUUGCCUAGGGGGCGUCAAAGCUUACCAAAGCAUAUCAAACUCCGAAUGCCAUCAAGAUGAUUCAUGGGAGUCAGACCAUACGAGAUAAGUUGGAUGGUCAAAAGGGAAAGAGCCCAGACCUACAGCUAAGGUCCCAAAGUACGUGUUAAGUGGAAAAGGAUGUGGGGAUUCUAAGACAACUAGGACGUUGGCUUAGAAGCAGCCAUUCAUUGAAAGAGUGCGUAAUAGCUCACUAGUCGAGAGUCCCUGCGCCGAAAAUGUCCGGGGCUGAAACACGACACCGAAGCUUAGGAAUGUGUAAACAUUGGUAGAGGAGCAUUGCUGGCGGGAUGAAGCCAUACCGUAAGGAGUGGUGGACUGCCAGGAAGAGAGAAUGCCGGAAUGAGUAGCGAGAUGAAGGUGAGAAUCCUUCAGGCCGAAUAUCUAAGGUUUCCAGAGUAAAGCUGAUCUGCUCUGGGUAAGUCGGGACCUAAGGCGAGGUCGAAAGACGUAGUCGAUGGAUAACAGGUUGAAAUUCCUGUACCGCAUAUAAACAGAACUGUGGGGACACAGACAGGGAAUGGAAUCCGGGAAUGGAUAUCCCGGUGCAAGCGAGGUAGGAGUGCUGUUGGCAAAUCCGCAGCACGAUCUGAAGACGUGACGCGUACCGAACAUAAGUAGGGAAGUCCAGGCCCCUGGCUGUCAAGAAAAGCCGCUAUUGUUUUAUAUGUGCCCGUACCGCAAACCGACACAGGUGGAUGAGGAGAGAAUCCUAAGGCCGACGGGAGAAGUAUUGUUAAGGAACUCGGCAAAAUGACUCCGUAACUUCGGGAGAAGGAGUGCCAUGUAAAAGUGGCCGCAGAGAAUUGGCCCAAGCAACUGUUUAGCAAAAACACAGGUCUAUGCAAAACCGAAAGGUGAGGUAUAUGGGCUGACGCCUGCCCGGUGCUGGAAGGUUAAGGGGAGAGGUUAGCGCAAGCGAAGCUUUGAACUUAAGCCCCAGUAAACGGCGGCCGUAACUAUAACGGUCCUAAGGUAGCGAAAUUCCUUGUCGGGUAAGUUCCGACCCGCACGAAAGGCGUAAUGAUUUGAGCACUGUCUCGACAAUGCAUCCGGUGAAAUUG
rnacentral:rRNA from 1 species